rnacentral:rRNA from 1 species
GAUGAACGCUGGCGGCGUGCCUAAUACAUGCAAGUCGAGCGAACCUCUUCGGAGGUUAGCGGCGGACGGGUGAGUAACACGUGGGCAACCUACCUUGUAGAUGGGGAUAACAUCGAGAAAUCGGUGCUAAUACCGAAUAACACUCUUCUCCACAUGGAGAAAAGUUAAAAGUUGGCUUUUGCUAACACUACAAGAUGGGCCCGCGGCGCAUUAGCUAGUUGGCGAGGUAACGGCUCACCAAGGCGACGAUGCGUAGCCGACGUGAGAGGGUGAUCGGCCACACAGGGACUGAGACACGGCCCAGACUCCUACGGGAGGCAGCAGUAGGGAAUCUUCCGCAAUGGACGAAAGUCUGACGGAGCAACGCCGCGUGAGUGAUGAAGGCCUUCGGGUCGUAAAACUCUGUUGUUAGGGAAGAACAAGUACCGUUCGAAUAGGGCGGUACCGUGACGGUACCUAACCAGAAAGCCACGGCUAACUACGUGCCAGCCGCCGCCGUAAGAC